ACCAAUACGUACUUCGGUGCGGCAACAUUGGUGAUUCAUAAUAACUUGAACGAAUCGCAAUAUACCUUUCGGGGUGGCGAUGGUUCAUUCAAAUUUCUGCCCUAUCAACUUUGGAUGGUAGUAUAGAGGACUACCAUGGUGAUAACGGGUGACGGAGAAUUAGGGUUCGAUUCCGGAGAGGGAGCCUGAGAGAUGGCUACCACUUCUAAGGAAGGUAGCAGGCGCGCAAAUUACCCAAUCCCGAUACGGGGAGGUAGUGACAAUAAAUAACAAUACAGGUCUUGACAAAAGUCGUGUAAUUGGAAUGAGAGCAAUGUAAACACCUCAGCGAGUAACAAUUGGAGGGCAAGUCUGGUGCCAGCAGCCGCGGUAAUUCCAGCUCCAAUAGCGUAUAUUAAAGUUGUUGCAGUUAAAGAGCUCGUAGUUGGAUCUUGGGAUAUGUGAUGUCUGGUCCGCCCGCAAAGGGUGUGUACUGACGUUGCUGUCCUCAACCUUCCGGACUAUCCACCGCUGCUAUUAACUUAGUGGCGCCAAAAAGUGUGCUUAGAAUUAAACACUCUGGGUACAUGGGAACCGGAACAUUUACUUUGAAAAAAUUAGAGUGUUCAAAGCAGACAAGUAUAUGUCAUUGAAUAGAUUAGCAUGGGAUAAUAGAAUAGGACCAUGUCCUUAUUUUGUUGGUUUUCGAGGAUGCGGUAAUGAUUAAUAGGGACGGUCGGGGGCAUUGGUAUUUAGUUGUCAGAGGUGAAAUUCACAGAUUUACGAAAGACCAACAUAGGCGAAAGCAUUUGCCAAGGAUGUUUUCAUUAAUCAAGAACGAAAGUUCGGGGAUCGAAGACGAUCAGAUACCGUCGUAGUCCGGACCAUAAACUAUGCCGACCAGAGAUCGAAGGACGUUAAAAUUUAAAUUAUGACUCCUCCGGCAUCUUGUGAGAAAUCAUAAGUGUUUGGGUCCUGGGGGGAGUAUGGUCACAAGGCUGAAACUUAAAGGAAUUGACGGAAGGGCACACCAGAGGUGGAACCUGCGGCUUAAUUUGACCCAACACGGGAAAACUCACCAGGUCCGGACAUAGGGAGGAUUGACAGAUUGAGAGCUCUUUCUUGAUUCUAUGGGUGGUGGUGCAUGGCCGUUCUUAGUUCGUGGAAUGAUCUGUCUGCUUAAUUGCGAUAACGAACGAGACUUCAACCUACUAAAUAGUUAUGCGUAUUCUACUACAAAAAACCAAGGUCUAGUUAACUUGCAUAAUGGCUACGGUUGUUGUGUGAGAAGGCUUCUCUUUGGCGGUUGAAUAUGUAGCAAACUUCUUAGAGGAACUACU
rnacentral:rRNA from 1 species